rnacentral:rRNA from 1 species
CAGUAGCCGCGGGAAUACGUAGGUGGCGAGCGUUGUCUGGAAUUAUUGGGCGUAAAGGGAGCGCAGGCGGACAUAUAAGUCCAUCUUAAAAGUGCGGGGCUCAACCCCGUGAGGGGAUGGAAACUGUAUGCCUUGAGUGCAGGAGAGGAAAGCGGAAUUCCCAGUGUAGCGGUGAAAUGCGUAGAUAUUGGGAGGAACACCAGUGGCGAAGGCGGCUUCCUGGACUGUAACUGACGCUGAGGCUCGAAAGCCAGGGGAGCGAACGGGAUUAGAUACCCCAGUAGUCCCUGUCUCUUAUACA